CCUACGGGAGGCAGCAGUGGGGAAUAUUGGGCAAUGGGCGCAAGCCUGACCCAGCAACGCCGCGUGAAGGAAGAAGGCUUUCGGGUUGUAAACUUCUUUUCUCAGGGACGAAGAAAGUGACGGUACCUGAGUAAUAAGCCACGGCUAACUACGUGCCAGCAGCCGCGGUAAUACGUAGGUGGCAAGCGUGAUCCGGAUUUAUUGGGUGUAAAGGGCGUGUAGGCGGGAGGGCAAGUCAGAUGUGAAAACUCAGGGCUCAACCCUGAGCCUGCAUUUGAAACUGUGUUUCUUGAGUGCUGGAGAGGCAACAGGAAUUCCGGGUGUAGCGGUGAAAUGCGUAGAUAUACGGAGGAACACCAGUGGCGAAGGCAGAUUGCUGGACAGUAACUGACGCUGAGGCGCGAAAGCGUGGGGAGCAAACAGGAUUAGAUACCCGAGUAGUC
rnacentral:rRNA from 1 species